rnacentral:lncRNA from 1 species
UCAUAUAACAGUAACACCCCUCCACAAAUAUUAAAAUCAGAUCUCACUCUACCCUAUAAUUUUUUUUAAGUAAAAGUAAAUAUAUUACAUGAUAAUAUAUUCUUAUAUUGAUGUGGUUUCUGCCUCUAAAUCCACCACAAGAGCUCAAUGAAUGAGAUUUGGUGAGCUACUUUUUCAUUCCAAUAUAUCUUUUUUUUUUUUUUACUAAUAAAUUCUUUAU